rnacentral:lncRNA from 1 species
GUGUUAAACAUACCUGAGACCCUGCAAACCUUUGCUGUCUGUCUAGCAAUCUGCAUUAUGCACAGGUAGGUUUGGUUCCUGUGGAGUUGGUUACUUUUUUCUUGUAUACUAGUUAUAAAAAUGAACAGCUCCAGUCCAUUCUUAAAUGUUGAUGAUAUAAGUUUUUGACUAAUAGAGCAGGUGAGAGAGAAGUGGAUCUGCUCCAUCUCUGAAUUUUUGGUUUCUCACAGGGUUUCUACUUUGUUUCUUUGCAGCUGGAAAUUAGUUUGGAUAGAAGUAGAGCUGAUGCUAAUGUAUAAACCUUAAAGAUGUGCUUUGCCGCCAAAAUGUAUCUCUGCUAAGGGAACAUAUAGGUGGUGGUGGUUGUUUUCUUGUAUUGUUUGGCAAUAAGAAAGGGAACUUCGGGAAAAGUUUAAAAAGAGGAAGAGAACUGGAGAAUUUAUUUGAUGCUAUUACCUUGUUAUCCAAUGUAGCCAUAUUUCUUGAAUUUUAUAUUAGCAAAGUUUACUUGAUGGAUUAACAUCACGUUGCUUUUUCUGAAAGAGCAAAAAGUUUUGUUUUGUUUGUCCUGUAGGCCUGCCUUCUGCUGAGUUGGACAGUCAGAUGGAGAGUUCAAAAUUGCAGUUGCCAGAAGAAAUGAGCAGUAAAGGGUUUGGACUGUAUGAGGAGCACCAUUAUGUUCACAAACUGUUGUGCAGAGCAGACUUCGUGCUAAAUACUGAAGUUGUUGUCAGCACAGGUGAGACAUGUCAAAAUUUCCUUCUUCCUACUCCUGGUCUUCUGAAAUCUGCAGACAGCAGACCUACUUUUUAAGGAGUGUGGGAGCAAAAUGUCUUGGUGCUUGCAUUAUGUAUCUUUGAUGGACAUUGCUGCAGCUCUACCAACCAGCACUGAAGGAAAGGCCAGGAACCUAUCUACUUCUUGGCCAUCUCCACCUUCAUUUCUGUUCUAGACCUCAAAUCAAGCAUCUUACAUGGAGUGGACUGACCAGGGUCAUCCAUUGUCAUAGAGAAGGUAUUAGGGAUGGCUUAUUUUGAGAGUAGCGAUGAAAUCCAAGUUUAUUCUCGCUUCAGGAUAAAAUAAUUCUGAUGCGUCUAAUUCAAUUACUGCACACUGCUUCUGCUUUCUGUGGUAAUACUUAAGUAUUUUUUGUAUUUGUCCCUGAAUCUUGAUACUUGAGACUGAAGACUCUAAUGUUCGAAUUGAGCUUAUUUAAAUGCUAUUUUAUUCAAGGUCCUCCUUUAUUGUAGGACUUUUUGUGAAGACCAACUCAACAACUCAAAACACAGAAUAACUAGGCCUUAAAAUAGCUGAAGAAAUUGUUAUGUAUUAGUCUUUGACUCACAGUGCAUCUUGAUAGUUUCUGAAAUUUACUGCUUAUAUCAUACCCUUAAUUUUAGUAGGAACUGGAUUGUAGUUCCCACUGGAAAGUUUGAGAGUUCACUGGUGGGAAUAGGUGGCAAAGAAGGACCUGCG